AUUGAACGCUGGCGGCAGGCCUAACACAUGCAAGUCGAGCGAGCGGCGGACGGGUGAGUAAUGUCUGGGAAACUGCCUGUGGGAGGGGGCGAACUACAGGAAACGGUAGCUCAUAACGCAUACCAGCUGACGUGCCCCGAUGGGGUUAGCUAGUAGGUGGGGUAACGGCUCACCUAGGCGACGAUCCCUAGCCGGUCUGAGAGGAGGACCAGCCACACUGUAACUUAGACACGGUCCAGACUCCUACGGGAGGCAGCAGUGGGGAAUAUUGCACAAUGGGCGCAAGCCUGAUACAGCCAUGCCGCGUGUGUGAAGAAGGCUUUCGGGUUGUAAAGCCCUUUCAGCGGGGAGGCGUUACCCGCAGAAGAAGCACCGGCUAACUCCGUGCCAGCAGCCGCGGUAAUAC
rnacentral:rRNA from 1 species